AGGCAUUUUAGUAAACAAUGUUUUCUCUAUCUUGUCACAUAUUAUGAUAUCAUUAUCGGAGGUGGAAAUAGUUACAUAAAAAUGUUUGUUCCUGAGUCAUCUGCUUCCCAGUUUCUCCAGAGAAGCAGAGAAGGGGAUCCCAGACUGCCCGUCAGCUCGUGGUUAAGUUCGUGCGCUCCGCUUCGGCAGCCCAGGGUUUGGCUGGUUCGGAUCCUGGGUGUGGACAUGGCACCACUCAUCAGGCCAUGCUGAGGUGGUGUCCCGCAUAGCACAACCAGAGGCACUCACAACUAGAAUAUACAACUAUGUACUGGGGGUUUUGGGGAGAAGAAGAAGAAAAAAAGAAGAUUGGCAACAGAUGUUAGCUUAGGUGCCAAUCUUUAAAAGAAAAAAAAAGAGAUCCAGAUAGGGGCCUAUGGCUUGGAGAGAGAAUUUCUAGCAUCUAACCAGGGCAACUCCCAUGGUCUCCAGGCCAGAGAAGGUGCCAGCACUGGGAGCAGGGCUGGGCCAUCAGGGCUUGGAAUCUGGGACCCCAGAAGCCAGGUCAGGGACCAGUCCACACACUGGCAGCUGUGUUCAGGUACCGCUGUUCUAAGGGCAUGUCAGAGAUGGCCAAGGGCACAGCUGGCCUAGCUGCCCCCGCUCCCCAAAGCCUUUGCUCUCUGCUGUGGGGGACCAGGCCAAGCCAGCACGUGCAAAUAUGAAGACGCUUCAGCCUCAAGGUGGGCACUGGUGGAGAAGCCACAAGUGGUGGAGAAGCCUCAGGGCACCCGGUUCUCGUCCCAGCCCCGGCGUUCGCUGGUGAGGCUUUCAUCUUGAGCACAUCACGUCACCUUCCUGGGUUCCGGUGUCCCCUUGGUAAAGUGAGGGACCUGCACCAGAUGAUGUCCCCUGCUCCAUAAGAAUCCAGCUGGGUGCUCGGGGCUGGCAUUUCACUCCUCUGUUAGAUUGUCUUCUUUUGGGGUGGGACAGAGGGCCAGCUCAGAUGGUGCGAGAGCACGGGCUGUUUAGGAUGCCUUGAUGCAUUUUGCAGCCUCCUCGGUUAUGAGGGUGGUCAGACUGUGAGAGAACCAACACCCUGUCUUGGUCCCUGGGUGUUCCUUUUACUCUGACAAGUGGUAGCCAGAUGUUGGGGAGCACAGGUAUGGAGGUGGGUGGCAUGCUGGAUGUUGGGAGUGCCCAGCACGGCUGGACCACAUUUGGCCCCAGCCGGCUGCGUGGCGGAUCUGAAGGCGCAGAGAGAGAAGCAUCGCUACCUCUCACUGGGGCCUCUCUGUGGACGGCAGCCUGACUGCUUGACAUGGAUGUGGACUGCAAAGGGAAGGGAGGCGCUUGACUGGGAGGGGACUGAGGACAAUGUGUAGGAAUGUGGCUCCUUACUGGAGCCCCCUAUGGGACUUAGCAUUGCCUACUGUGGUACUGGUGGGGAUCUGAGGGUCAUUGAGUUUCCCCGGAUUCCAUAGUCAGGCUGGUCCCAGGACAGAGAUGUCGUCUGCUCCUGGUGGCUGUGCCAGCCUCGGGCAGGGCCCCUUCUCUGGCCAGAGGCAGCUGCC
ensembl:lncRNA